rfam:Ornithorhynchus anatinus chromosome 4, whole genome shotgun sequence.
CCCCUCUCAGGAUCGCACCUAGAGAGUUUCCAUUACUCUGCCAGGCUUGGCUAAGGGAGGGAGAGUCAAACAGAUGCUAUCCAUUCCAUUCCUAGCGUGGGUAGUGGCUAGAGCGUGGAAGGCAAUCUGCUACAAGG